AUCGGAGCGGCCGGGAGCCAUGUUGGAGCGUCGGGAGGCGGCAGCGGCGUCGGGGAUGCUGUGGUGGGGGCGGCAAAAGCCGGGGCCGUAUGCCAAAGGGGCUCUGGCCGCGGAGUAGAUGGUGCCCAGAGAGCAGUGGCGGCGCGGAGCGACGGGCAGAGGGGCGGAGGGCCGGGGCGGCGGCAGGGGCCCAGGAGGGGGCCAGAGCAGCGGGGCGGGCCCAAGGCCCGGACCCGGGCGGGGGGCGGCGGAGGCCGUGACGGGAGGCGGGGGUGAUGGCGAGGCGGCCUCUAUGGUGGGGUCUCCCGGGACCGUCGACCCCGGUACUACUGCUCCUUCUCCUCUCUUUGUUCCCUUUUAGCCGGGAGGAGCUGGGGGGCGGUGGGGACCAGGACUGGGACCCAGGGGUUGCUACUACUACUGGGCCAAGAGCGCAAAUCGGCAGUGGAGCCGUAGCUCUUUGUCCCGAAUCUCCCGGCGUCUGGGAAGAUGGAGAUCCUGGCCUGGGGGUCAGGGAGCCUGUCUUCAUGAGGCUCCGAGUAGGUAGGCAAAACGCCCGGAAUGGUCGAGGGGCCCCUGAGCAACCAAACGCGGAGGUGGUGGUCCAGGCAUUGGGUAGUCGCGAGCAAGAGGCAGGUCAGGGUCCAGGGUAUCUGUUAUGUUGGCACCCAGAGAUCUCCUCUUGUGGGCGGACAGGGCCUUUACGAAGAGGUAGCCUGCCACUCGAUGCUCUGUCCCCAGGGGAUUCUGAUCUGAGGAACAGCUCUCCUCACCCUUCAGAACUUCUGGCUCAGCCUGAUGGCUCCAGGCCAGUGGCCUUCCAGCGUAAUGCUAGGAGAAGCAUCCGCAAAAGAGUGGAAACCUCUCGCUGCUGCGGGAAGCUGUGGGAGCCAGGACACAAGGGUCAGGGUGAGAGAUCCGCGACUUCCACAGUGGACAGGGGACCCUUUCGGCGGGACUGCCUCCCCGGCUCUUUAGGAUCUGGCCUGGGGGAGGAUUCAGCACCACGUGCUGUGAGGACAGCUCCUACGCCGGGUUCAGCACCUCGCGAGUCUCGGACAGCUCCCGGGCGCAUGCGCUCCCGCGGUCUCUUCCGCCGCCGUUUCCUCUUUGAGCGCCCUGGGCCGCGCCCUCCCGGGUUUCCGACUGGUCCUGAAGCCAAGCAAAUACUCUCAACUAACCAGGCUCGUCCUCGUCGUGCUGCAAACCGCCACCCGCAGUUUCCUCAAUACAACUACCAGACACUGGUACCUGAAAAUGAGGCAGCGGGCACAUCAGUACUGCGCGUGGUGGCACAAGACCCGGACCCAGGCGAGGCCGGGCGCCUCAUCUACUCGCUGGCGGCGCUCAUGAACAGCCGCUCGCUGGAGCUUUUCAGUAUUGAUCCUCAGAGUGGCCUCAUCCGCACGGCUGCCGCUCUGGAUCGUGAGAGUAUGGAACGCCACUACCUUCGAGUAACAGCACAGGACCACGGCUCACCGCGCCUCUCAGCUACCACCAUGGUGGCGGUGACAGUAGCUGACCGCAACGAUCACGCGCCAGUGUUUGAGCAAGCCCAGUAUCGGGAAACACUUCGUGAGAAUGUGGAAGAAGGUUACCCCAUCCUGCAGUUGCGUGCCACCGACGGCGACGCGCCACCUAACGCCAACCUGCGCUACCGCUUCGUGGGAUCGCCAGCUGUGCGCACCGCAGCCGCCGCUGCUUUCGAGAUUGAUCCACGUUCGGGUCUUAUCAGCACCAGUGGCCGCGUGGACAGGGAACACAUGGAAAGCUAUGAGCUAGUAGUAGAGGCUAGUGACCAGGGCCAGGAGCCUGGGCCACGUUCAGCCACCGUGCGAGUGCACAUAACUGUGCUGGAUGAGAAUGAUAAUGCGCCCCAGUUCAGCGAGAAGCGCUAUGUGGCACAGGUGCGUGAGGAUGUGCGCCCUCACACGGUGGUGCUACGUGUCACGGCCACGGACAAGGACAAGGAUGCCAAUGGUUUGGUGCAUUAUAACAUUAUCAGCGGCAACAGCCGGGGCCAUUUUGCCAUCGACAGUCUCACGGGUGAGAUACAGGUAAUGGCACCCCUGGACUUUGAGGCAGAGAGAGAGUACGCUUUGCGAAUCCGGGCACAAGAUGCAGGCCGGCCACCUUUGUCCAACAACACGGGCCUGGCAAGCAUCCAGGUGGUAGACAUCAAUGACCAUGCUCCUAUCUUUGUCAGCACACCCUUUCAGGUCUCUGUUUUGGAAAAUGCACCCCUGGGUCACUCAGUAAUUCACAUUCAAGCAGUGGAUGCAGAUCAUGGGGAGAACUCCAGGUUAGAGUAUUCUCUAACUGGUGUGGCAUCAGACACACCCUUUGUGAUAAACAGUGCCACUGGCUGGGUCUCUGUGAGCGGUCCCCUGGACCGUGAAUCUGUGGAACAUUACUUUUUUGGUGUGGAGGCUCGAGACCAUGGUUCACCCCCACUCUCUGCUUCAGCCAGUGUCACCGUAACUGUGUUGGAUGUCAAUGACAAUCGGCCUGAGUUCACCAUGAAAGAGUACCACCUUCGGCUCAAUGAGGACGCAGCUGUAGGCACCAGUGUGGUCAGUGUGACUGCGGUAGAUCGAGAUGCUAACAGCGCCAUCAGCUACCAAAUCACGGGUGGCAACACUCGGAACCGAUUUGCCAUCAGCACCCAGGGUGGUGUGGGCCUGGUGACACUGGCUCUGCCGCUGGAUUACAAGCAGGAACGCUACUUCAAGCUGGUGCUUACUGCAUCUGAUCGUGCCCUUCAUGACCACUGCUAUGUGCAUAUCAACAUCACAGAUGCCAACACACACAGGCCUGUCUUUCAAAGUGCCCACUACUCGGUGAGCAUGAAUGAAGACCGCCCAGUGGGUAGCACUGUGGUGGUCAUCAGUGCUUCUGAUGAUGACGUAGGUGAAAAUGCCCGCAUCACCUACCUUCUGGAAGACAACCUGCCCCAGUUCCGAAUUGAUGCUGACUCUGGGGCCAUUACGCUGCAAGCUCCAUUGGACUAUGAGGACCAAGUGACCUAUACACUGGCCAUAACCGCUCGGGACAAUGGUAUACCACAGAAAGCAGAUACCACCUACGUGGAGGUAAUGGUAAAUGAUGUGAAUGACAAUGCUCCUCAGUUUGUGGCCUCUCACUAUACAGGCCUGGUCUCCGAGGAUGCGCCACCUUUCACUAGUGUCCUGCAGAUCUCAGCCACUGACAGGGAUGCCCAUGCCAAUGGCCGCGUCCAGUACACUUUCCAGAAUGGGGAAGACGGGGAUGGGGAUUUUACCAUUGAGCCCACCUCUGGCAUUGUCAGGACUGUGAGGCGACUGGACCGGGAAGCAGUGCCAGUGUAUGAGCUGACUGCCUACGCAGUGGACCGUGGUGUGCCCCCACUGAGGACUCCAGUCAGCAUCCAGGUGACUGUACAGGACGUAAACGACAACGCACCCGUCUUCCCAGCUGAGGAGUUUGAAGUGAGGGUGAAGGAGAACAGCAUCGUAGGAUCCGUGGUGGCUCAGAUCACCGCAGUGGACCCCGAUGAUGGCCCCAACGCUCAUAUAAUGUACCAGAUUGUGGAAGGGAACAUCCCCGAGUUGUUCCAAAUGGAUAUCUUCUCUGGAGAGCUCACAGCACUCAUUGACCUGGAUUAUGAGGCUCGUCAGGAAUAUGUGAUUGUGGUGCAGGCCACAUCUGCUCCUCUGGUCAGCCGGGCCACUGUACAUGUGCGCCUAGUCGACCAGAAUGACAACAGCCCUGUGCUGAACAACUUCCAGAUUCUCUUUAACAACUAUGUAUCCAACCGCUCCGACACUUUCCCCUCAGGCAUCAUUGGGCGAAUCCCAGCUUAUGACCCGGAUGUCUCUGACCACCUCUUUUACUCCUUUGAGAGGGGCAAUGAACUGCAGCUGCUGGUGGUCAACCGGACCAGUGGGGAGCUUCGACUCAGCAGGAAGUUGGACAACAACCGCCCACUAGUGGCCUCCAUGCUGGUAACUGUAACAGAUGGCCUGCAUAGUGUUACAGCCCAGUGUGUUCUGCGUGUGGUCAUCAUCACGGAGGAGUUGCUGGCCAAUAGCUUGACUGUUCGCCUGGAGAACAUGUGGCAAGAGCGCUUCCUGUCACCGCUGCUGGGUCAUUUUCUUGAAGGCGUGGCUGCAGUGCUUGCAACACCAACCGAGGACGUUUUCAUCUUCAACAUCCAGAACGACACGGAUGUGGGGGGCACCGUGCUCAACGUGAGCUUCUCAGCGCUGGCACCUCGUGGGGCUGGGGCAGGCGCUGCAGGGCCCUGGUUCAGCUCGGAGGAGCUACAGGAGCAACUGUAUGUGCGCCGUGCCGCCCUGGCGGCCCGCUCGCUGCUCGACGUGCUGCCCUUUGACGACAACGUGUGCCUGCGCGAGCCCUGCGAGAACUACAUGAAAUGCGUGUCAGUGCUCCGCUUUGACUCCUCCGCGCCCUUCUUGGCCUCGACCUCCACGCUCUUCCGACCCAUCCAGCCCAUCGCGGGUUUGCGCUGCCGCUGCCCUCCUGGCUUCACGGGAGACUUCUGUGAGACAGAGCUCGACCUCUGUUACUCGAACCCUUGUCGCAAUGGCGGCGCGUGCGCGCGGCGCGAGGGAGGCUACACCUGUGUGUGCCGCCCGCGCUUCACCGGGGAAGACUGCGAGCUGGACACUGAAGCUGGACGCUGCGUGCCGGGUGUCUGCCGCAACGGGGGCACCUGCACCAACGCACCCAAUGGCGGCUUUCGCUGCCAGUGCCCCGCGGGCGGCGCUUUCGAGGGUCCACGCUGUGAGGUGGCCGCACGCUCCUUUCCUCCCAGUUCCUUCGUCAUGUUCCGCGGCCUUCGACAGCGCUUCCACCUCACGCUCUCCCUCUCGUUUGCAACUGUGCAACCCAGCGGGCUACUCUUCUACAACGGGCGCCUGAACGAGAAGCAUGACUUUUUGGCUCUAGAGCUUGUGGCUGGCCAAGUGCGGCUUACAUAUUCCACGGGUGAAUCCAACACAGUGGUCAGCCCCACAGUUCCAGGAGGCCUGAGUGACGGACAAUGGCAUACAGUGCAUCUGAGAUACUACAACAAGCCCCGGACAGAUGCCCUAGGGGGUGCUCAGGGCCCGUCAAAGGACAAGGUGGCCGUGUUGAGCGUGGAUGACUGCAACGUGGCUGUGGCUCUGCAGUUCGGUGCCGAGAUUGGCAACUACUCGUGUGCAGCUGCUGGUGUGCAAACAAGCUCCAAGAAGUCCCUGGACCUGACGGGCCCUCUGCUCUUGGGGGGUGUCCCCAACCUUCCCGAGAACUUCCCUGUGUCCCACAAGGACUUCAUUGGCUGCAUGCGAGACUUGCACAUUGAUGGCCGCCGAAUGGACAUGGCAGCCUUUGUUGCAAACAACGGCACUAUGGCAGGCUGCCAGGCCAAGUCACACUUUUGUGCCUCAGGCCCCUGCAAGAACAAUGGCUUCUGCUCCGAGCGCUGGGGUGGCUUCAGCUGUGAUUGUCCUGUGGGCUUUGGUGGCAAAGACUGUCGACUCACAAUGGCCCAUCCCUACCAUUUCCAAGGCAAUGGAACACUGAGUUGGGACUUUGGAAAUGACAUGGCUGUGUCUGUGCCAUGGUACCUGGGACUAUCAUUUCGGACACGGGCAACAAAAGGGAUCCUGAUGCAAGUACAGCUUGGGCCACACAGCGUGCUCCUCUGCAAGCUAGAUCGAGGGUUGCUGUCUGUGACACUAAAUAGGGCCUCAGGCCACACUGUCCACCUCCUGUUGGACCAGAUGACUGUCAGCGAUGGCCGGUGGCAUGAUCUUCGGCUGGAGUUGCAGGAGGAGCCAGGUGGCCGAAGGGGCCACCAUAUCUUUAUGGUUUCACUGGACUUCACCCUCUUCCAGGACACCAUGGCCAUGGGGGGUGAGCUGCAGGGCCUGAAAGUAAAACAGCUCCACGUGGGAGGCCUGCCCCCCAGCAGUAAGGAGGAGGGGCAUCAGGGUCUGGUUGGCUGUAUUCAGGGGGUGUGGAUUGGCUUCACACCCUUUGGGUCCUCAGCCCUGCUACCUCCCAGCCACAGAGUGAAUGUGGAGCCUGGCUGUACUGUGACCAACCCCUGUGCAUCUGGGCCUUGUCCUCCCCACGCUGAUUGCAAAGACCUCUGGCAGACCUUUUCCUGUACCUGUCGGCCAGGUUACUAUGGCCCAGGCUGUGUGGAUGCCUGCCUCCUGAACCCUUGUCAAAACCAGGGAUCAUGCCGGCACCUCCAAGGGGCCCCCCAUGGCUAUACUUGUGACUGUGUGAGUGGCUAUUUUGGUCAGCACUGUGAGCACAGAGUGGACCAGCAGUGCCCUCGGGGAUGGUGGGGAAGCCCGACCUGUGGUCCCUGCAACUGUGAUGUUCACAAGGGCUUUGACCCCAACUGCAACAAGACGAAUGGCCAGUGCCACUGCAAGUUACCACCUCUCAUCCUUCACCUCUAAACCCAUCUGAGGCAAGUCUUUUUAGCCUUUGAGCUCUUUUUAAUUUUCUUUUUUUAAACUUUUGCCCUUGAUUUUUCUACUCAUUCCCCAAGCUUUCACCUAAGACCCUUCCCUUAAGCCUGACCUCUGACCUCAGGCCCCUGACCCAUCCCUAAACAGGAGUUCCACUAUCGACCGAGGGGCAGUGACUCAUGCCUCCCAUGUGACUGCUACCCUGUGGGCUCCACCUCCCGCUCAUGUGCACCCCACAGCGGGCAGUGCCCCUGCCGCCCAGGAGCCCUUGGCCGCCAGUGUAACAGCUGUGACAGCCCCUUUGCGGAAGUGACAGCCAGUGGUUGCCGAGUGCUCUACGAUGCCUGCCCCAAGUCCCUGAGAUCUGGUGUGUGGUGGCCCCAGACUAAGUUUGGUGUUUUGGCCACAGUACCCUGUCCCCGGGGGGCCUUGGGAUUGCGGGGUACAGGUGCUGCGGUGCGGCUGUGCGAUGAGGACCAGGGUUGGUUGGAGCCUGAUCUCUUCAACUGUACCUCCCCUGCCUUCCGAGAGCUUAGUCUGCUGUUGGAUGGCCUAGAACUGAACAAGACAGCACUGGAUACUGUGGAGGCCAAGAAGCUGGCUCAGAGGCUGCGGGAGGUGACUGGCCAGACUGACCACUACUUUAGCCAAGAUGUCCGAGUCACUGCCCGCUUGCUGGCCUACUUGCUAGCUUUUGAGAGCCAUCAGCAGGGCUUCGGGCUGACAGCCACACAAGAUGCCCACUUCAAUGAGAAUCUUCUAUGGGCUGGUUCUGCACUGCUGGCUCCGGAGACAGGACACUUGUGGGCAGCCCUGGGGCAGCGGGCCCCUGGGGGCUCCCCGGGUAGUGCAGGACUGGUGCAGCAUCUGGAGGAAUAUGCAGCCACCCUUGCAAGGAAUAUGGAGCUGACAUAUCUGAAUCCUGUUGGACUAGUCACACCCAAUAUCAUGCUCAGCAUUGACCGUAUGGAGCAUCCUAGUUCAACUCAGGGAGCCCGGCGUUACCCCCGUUACCACAGCAACCUUUUCCGGGGCCAGGAUGCCUGGGAUCCUCAUACACACGUGCUGUUGCCUUCCCAGGCCUCACAGCCAUCGCCAUCUGAAGUUCUGCCCACCAGCAGCAACGCAGAAAACGCCACAGCCUCAAGUGUGGUCUCCCCACCUGCACCUCUGGAGCCUGAGUCUGAGCCUGGGAUUUCCAUAGUCAUUCUACUGGUGUACCGAGCCUUGGGAGGGCUUCUCCCCGCCCAGUUCCAAGCUGAGCGCCGGGGUGCCAGGCUCCCUCAGAACCCUGUCAUGAACUCUCCGGUGGUCAGCGUGGCUGUUUUCCAUGGUCGCAACUUCCUCAGGGGUGUCCUGGUGUCCCCAAUCAACCUUGAGUUCCGCCUACUACAGACGGCGAAUCGGAGCAAGGCAAUCUGUGUGCAGUGGGACCCACCUGGCCCGACAGACCAGCAUGGUAUGUGGACUGCUAGGGACUGCGAGCUGGUGCACAGGAAUGGAUCCCAUGCACGGUGUCGCUGUAGCCGCACGGGCACUUUUGGAGUCCUUAUGGAUGCCUCUCCCCGGGAGCGGCUAGAGGGAGACCUAGAGCUGCUGGCAGUGUUCACUCACGUGGUCGUGGCAGUGUCUGUAACGGCGCUAGUACUGACUGCCGCUGUCCUGCUGAGUCUGCGCAGCCUCAAGUCCAAUGUGCGUGGGAUCCAUGCCAAUGUGGCAGCUGCCCUGGGAGUGGCAGAGCUCCUCUUCCUGCUGGGAAUCCACAGGACCCACAACCAGCUGCUGUGCACCGCUGUCGCCAUCCUCCUGCAUUACUUCUUCCUCAGCACCUUUGCAUGGCUCCUGGUGCAGGGCCUGCACCUCUACCGAAUGCAGGUUGAGCCUCGAAAUGUGGAUCGUGGUGCUAUGCGCUUCUAUCAUGCCCUGGGCUGGGGCGUCCCUGCUGUGUUGUUGGGUCUUGCUGUUGGGCUGGACCCAGAGGGCUAUGGGAACCCUGACUUCUGCUGGAUCUCCAUCCAUGAACCUCUUAUCUGGAGUUUUGCUGGCCCUAUCGUCCUCGUUAUUGUGAUGAACGGGACCAUGUUUCUCCUCGCUGCCCGCACAUCCUGCUCCACAGGACAGAGGGAGGCCAAGAAGACCUCUGUGCUCAGGACCCUUCGCAGCUCCUUUCUGCUCCUUCUGCUGGUCAGUGCCUCCUGGCUCUUUGGCCUUCUGGCAGUCAACCACAGCAUACUGGCCUUCCACUACCUCCAUGCUGGACUCUGUGGCCUCCAGGGCCUGGCUGUACUGCUGCUCUUCUGUGUCCUGAAUGCAGACGCUCGGGCUGCUUGGACACCAGCCUGUCUAGGCAAGAAGGCAGCUCCUGAGGAAACAAGGCCAGCCCCCGGGCCGGGGUCCGGGGCCUACAACAACACGGCUCUCUUUGAGGAGAGUGGCCUUAUCCGCAUCACUCUCGGUGCCUCUACCGUCUCUUCAGUGAGCAGUGCCCGCUCUGGCAGGGCCCAGGACCAGGACAGCCAGCGGGGCCGCAGCUACCUCAGGGACAAUGUUCUGGUUCGACACGGCUCGACUGCUGAGCACACUGAGCGAAGCCUCCAGGCUCACGCCGGCCCCACGGACCUGGAUGUGGCUAUGUUCCAUCGAGACGCUGGUGGAGUUGGAGCCCUGGGCCGGGGAGGAGGGGCUAGAGGGGGUCUUCACGAUCUGUUUUCUUCUGUCCCACAAUGCGGGCAGUGGCUAACUGGGUGGGACAAGCUCCUGUCAGGUUGCUGCCUCAGAAAGCACCUACUCACCCCUGGUGGUCCAAACUCACACCUGACCUAGCCCCUUGCUGUCUUGCUCGCCCACCUCCAGACCCUCAGCUCAGGACCUUUUCUUAUCCCUUGUGUCCCCUGCCAUUUCACCUUCCUGCUGACCGUCCCACUCCAGGUGCAGACUCUGACUCUGAUAGCGACCUGUCGUUGGAGGAAGAGAGAAGUUUAUCCAUCCCAUCUUCAGAGAGCGAGGACAAUGGCCGGACUCGAGGGCGUUUCCAACGUCCACUCCGCAGGGCAGCCCAGAGUGAGAGGCUCCUUGCCCACCCCAAAGAUGUGGACGGCAAUGACCUCCUGUCCUACUGGCCAGCCCUGGGAGAGUGUGAGGCAGCACCAUGUGCUCUGCAGGCAUGGGGCUCUGAAAGGCGCCUUGGACUAGACAGCAACAAAGAUGCAGCCAACAACAACCAGCCUGAACUGGCCUUGACCAGUGGAGAUGAAACCUCCCUGGGCAGGGCCCAGCGGCAGAGGAAAGGCAUCCUGAAGAACAGGUUGCAGUACCCACUGGUGCCUCAGAGUCGAGGCACUCCUGAGCUGUCGUGGUGCCGUGCAGCUACCUUGGGCCACCGUGCCGUGCCGGCUGCCUCCUAUGGUCGCAUCUAUGCAGGUGGGGGUACAGGUAGUCUUUCGCAGCCUGCCAGCCGCUACUCUUCGCGAGAACAGCUGGACUUGCUCUUAAGGCGACAGCUGAGCAAGGAGAGACUAGAAGAGGUCCCAGUUCCUGCACCUGUUCUGCAUCCCCUGAGCCGCCCAGGCUCCCAGGAACGCCUGGAUACUGCACCAGCCCGCCUGGAAGCCAGAGAUAGGGGCAGCACAUUACCAAGAAGGCAGCCACCUCGGGACUACCCUGGCACCAUGGCUGGCCGCUUUGGGUCACGAGAUGCACUGGACUUAGGGGCACCCCGAGAAUGGUUGAGCACACUGCCCCCACCCCGCCGCAACCGGGACCUUGACCCACAGCACCCACCUCUGCCCCUGUCUCCACAGCGGCAACUCUCAAGGGACCCCCUCUUGCCAUCUCGGCCCCUGGACUCUUUAUCUAGGAUCUCGAACUCUCGGGAGGGGCUGGACCAGGUGCCUAGUCGGCACCCUUCACGGGAGGCCCUUGGACCAGCCCCACAGCUUCUCAGAGCCAGGGAGGACCCAGCCAGCGGCCCUAGCCAUGGUCCCUCCACAGAGCAACUGGACAUUCUCUCUUCUAUCCUUGCCUCUUUCAACUCCUCAGCCCUCUCCUCUGUGCAGUCCUCAAGCACUCCCUCAGGCCCUCACACCACCGCCACAGCCUCUGCACUUGGGCCUUCCACACCUCGUUCCGCCACGUCUCACAGCAUCUCGGAGUUGUCACCUGAUUCAGAAGUUCCCAGAAGCGAGGGUCACUCCUGAGGGGCUGACCAGCGAAUGAGGAGCCACCAGGGGUUGCAGAGGAUUUGGGCUGACUGAAGAGCCUUCAGGACUGAUCGCAAGGCAGCCUUCUUCAAGCCCUCCCCUCAGUUCAGUGCAGAAGGAAGGUCCCUCCUGUGUGCGUCUGUGAGCAUGUGUGUGACAGGUGCAGGGGUGGGGGCUGAGGGAGGACUUUUAUACAUUUUUGUACCUUUGUAACCAGAGAGAUAUGCUUAUGUUAUUUUUCAGCUUUUCUGUCUCCCAGGGGUCUCGAGACUGGGCUAGGAGGGGGAAGGGGAUGGGAGAGAGACACUCCACUGGGCGCUUAGCUAAGCGUCUGCUCUUUCAUUUCAUCUUACAGCAGAGUGAAUGAGUCAGGCCCCACCUGCUCUUUCCCCUUCUCUUCCCCACAUUGAUCUGAACGUUGUUGUUGGGGCCCAGGGUGCAAAUUUGAUCUUUGCAUUUUCUCCGAUGCCCCUAGGCCAAACUCCUGUUGGGGGGGGGGAUUGGUCUUGGAAACAGGGGUUCCUCCAUCCUCCUCCUGAGGGCUCACGUGCUCCACUCCUCCCUGUGGGUGUGGAUAUGUAUUACAUGGAGUCCCUGCCGCUUACUGCCUUAAGACCUAGGACUGAUGCUGCAGGUGCUGGUGGAGCAGCAGAAGUCAUGUUUACAGAUCAAGGCUUCCCUUUCUCCCUUAGGGAGGGACUUGGGCCUCUAAUCAGACAUUCCUAGGGGGGUGGGUGGAGGGGAAACUCCUUUGUCCCUCCUUCACUUGUCUGUGGUGCCAUUGGUUCAUUACACUGUCCCCUUGAGGGAUGAGGGGGGCAGUGAGCAAAGGGAGCAGAAACAAGGGAACCCAAGACCCAGAAUGUAGGUAGGUGCCACCGCCUCUCACUGCUUACAGGAUCCUCCCUGGCACCAGGCUGCAGCAGUGGCUGCCCCACCUUCUGUUGGUCCCUUAUAAAGGGACAGGUAACUGUUAGGAUCCUGCUCACAAAACUCUCUUGUUAGUUGUCUGAUGUCCAGUGCUGGGGACUUUACAUUUUUGUUACUUUGUUUACAGAUCAAGAUUAUUUUUUUAACAUGGUUGGGUUUUAUUUAUUGUUUACAGCUUCAACCAUUGAACUUACACACUUUGUUUUAUAGUUCAGAAUGUUUCCCCCUCUUUGUUUACAAGUGAAAGGUAGAAAAAGUGGGGGAGGGGCCUAAAAGACCCACCUGCGAUGCCCCUGGACCUGGCCAUCUUGAGGUAGGCUUCUAAUCCCAACUUUUCCCAGGUCAAAGGUCAGCUGAGUCUUCUAACAGCUUGCCCCGAAAGUGGCUCAGGACCGGGGUUCUGUGCAGCCGCCACCCACCCCUACCCUGUGUUUACUCUUGGGAGGCAGUUUCUGAGAUUCAAAAAAAUCCCACUUCACUGCCUGUGCCAAAUCCCACCAGCCAGGUCCCCAGCUCUCUUUACCCAGACUGACCCCUGCCCUUGAAGGGCUGAGAGGCCUGUCGGUUGGGAGAGUGUCCUUGCUAUGUCCUAGGUUCUGUAGAUGCCCGUCUCUGGGGUCCCCUUCCAACAGUGGCCCUCUUUCCUGUCUGUGUAAAUUGUUCCGUGAAGCCGCGCUCUGUUUUGGGAAUAAACUUCUAUAGAAAACA